GCCCCCAUAGCACAAUGGAUCGUGCAGCGGACUUCUAAGCCGUUGAUGUUGGUUCGAUUCCAGCUGGGGGCA
rnacentral:tRNA from 3 species